UACGUAGGGUCCGAGCGUUAUCCGGAGUUACUGGGCGUAAAGCGCGGGCAGGCGGUCUUGCCAGUCUGAUGUGAAAUCUCUCAGCUCAACUGGGAGCAGCCAUUGGAAACUACAAGACUGGAGUCUGACAGAGGUAGGCGGAAUUCCGGGUGGAGUGGUGAAAUGCGUAGAGAUCCGGAGGAACACCAGAGGCGAAGGCGGCCUACUGGGUCAGUACUGACGCUGAGCCGCGAAAGCCAGGGGAGCGAACGGG
rnacentral:rRNA from 1 species